UAUUCUUGCGAAAGACACUGUGAUGGAGACCUCACAGGAACAGUGGCCAGAUUUCCGGCAUGUGUAGCAAGCUCCUUGGGGAGGAACUUGCUGGCUGCUGGAGGAACGCCUGGCUGCUACAGUUCAGGCAGUGUUCGUAUAAUAAAUUAUGUUGAAAUUUAAGUUUCCUGAAUCCAUGUCUGGUGCCUCUUCCACUAUAUGAUCUUCUUAUUAGAAAAACUGGAAGAGAAAUCUGGGGAGAUAGGUAGGCUCAGAUCGUGAACAGCCUUGAAAAUCAGCCCGAGAUUUGGAUUGUAUUCAGUGACCAACCACAGGCUUUGAGUAGGAUUUUGCUAGAAUCAAAGUGGUUCCAUGGGGUAGUUAAUACAAAGAUGAAAGAAUAUGGUUAAAAGGGUAAAUUUAAGAAUGGGAUUCUAAGGAUAGAAGUGGCAGAGUAGAUUCAGAAUGACAACGAAAAAAGAUGAAAUGUGAAAAA
rnacentral:lncRNA from 10 species